UACGUAGGGUGCGAGCGUUGUCCGGAAUUACUGGGCGUAAAGAGCUCGUAGGUGGUUUGUCGCGUUGUUCGUGAAAACUCACAGCUCAACUGUGGGCGUGCGGGCGAUACGGGCAGACUGGAGUACUGCAGGGGAGACUGGAAUUCCUGGUGUAGCGGUGGAAUGCGCAGAUAUCAGGAGGAACACCGGUGGCGAAGGCGGGUCUCUGGGCAGUAACUGACGCUGAGGCGCGAAAGCGUGGGGAGCAAACAGG
rnacentral:rRNA from 1 species